rnacentral:rRNA from 1 species
AUUGAACGCUGGCGGCAUGCCUAACACAUGCAAGUCGAACGGUAACGCGGGGGCAACCCUGGCGACGAGUGGCGGCCGGGUGAGUAAUACGUAGGAAUCUGCCCAUUUGCGGGGGAUAACCCGGCGAAAGCCGGGCUAAUACCGCAUACGCUCUACGGAGGAAAGCGGGGGAUCGCCAGACCUCGCGCUAAUGGAUGACCCUACGUCGGAUGAGCUAGUUGGUAGGGUAACGGCCUAGCAAGGCGACGAUCCGUAGCUGGUCUGAGAGGACGAUCAGCCACACUGGGACUGAGACACGGCCCAGACUCCUACGGGAGGCAGCAGUGGGGAAUAUUGGACAAUGGGGGCAACCCUGAUCCAGCAAUGCCGCGUGUGUGAAGAAGGCCUGCGGGUUGUAAAGCACUUUCAGAGGGGAAGAAAAAAUCGGAUCUAACACAUCCGAGCUUGACGUUACCCUUAGAAGAAGCACCGGCUAACUCCGUGCCAGCCGCCGCGGUAAGAC